rnacentral:rRNA from 1 species
UACGUAGGGGGCAAGCGUUGUCCGGAUUUAUUGGGCGUAAAGAGCGUGUAGGCGGCCAUGUAGGUCCGUUGUGAAAACUCGAGGCUCAACCUCGAGACGCCGAUGGAAACCAUGUGGCUAGAGUCCGGAAGAGGAGAGUGGAAUUCCUGGUGUAGCGGUGAAAUGCGCAGAUAUCAGGAAGAACACCCGUGGCUAAGGCGGCUCUCUAGUACGGUACUGACGCUGAGACGCGAAGGCCAGGGGAGCAAACGGG